rnacentral:rRNA from 1 species
CAGCCGCCGCGGUAAUACAGAGGGUGCGAGCGUUAAUCGGAUUUACUGGGCGUAAAGCGUGCGUAGGCGGCUUCUUAAGUCGGAUGUGAAAUCCCUGAGCUUAACUUAGGAAUUGCAUUCGAUACUGGGAAGCUAGAGUAUGGGAGAGGAUGGUAGAAUUCCAGGUGUAGCGGUGAAAUGCGUAGAGAUCUGGAGGAAUACCGAUGGCGAAGGCAGCCAUCUGGCCUAACACUGACGCUGAGGUACGAAAGCAUGGGGAGCGAACAGGAUUAGAACCCAGUAGUCCCUGUCUCUUAUACAC